ensembl:lncRNA
AUGAGGCUUGUUUAUUUUAAAAAGGGACGGCACCAAUUUCAAGUGUGUUCAGGUCAUCUUGGCAGGCUUGCUUCGCAAGCUAAUACAUGUGGAAGUCGACGUGCUGUGAACAGGUUGGACUUGCAGAUGAAAAGUACUCUGACGGAUUGCUCAAAUCCACUGGCGUCUUCAAGAAUGUUAAAAGAAAAACUUCGGCCGAAUUACGCUAAAAGGAGUUUAAUUGAGCAACGAACGACUUGUGAAUCAGGCAGCCCCCAGAAUCACAGGAGAUUCAGAGAGACUCCAGGGAUGCUUCGUGGUCAGAAAAAAUUUAUAGGCAAACAACGGGAAGUGACUUACACAAAUAGGAGGUGAGGUAAAGAGACAGCGGGACUGGUUAAGGGUUGGCGUUUGCCUUAUUUGAACACAGUUUGAACACUCAGCGGUGUGUGACUGGAUAUGUCUGCUGGGAUUGGCUAAGACUUAGCGAUUGUUACAGGCGUAGACUACUAAAUUAGGUUUUCAAUCUCAUCUACCUGUUAAGUUAGGUUGCAGUUCAUCCACAAGGGCUCAAAUGUAGAAGUACGGAGUCCUUCUCAGGCCACAUUUCGUUUGCUUUAACAGGGAGCACCUACUCUUUUCCUGCCUGACCCUGCAUUUUCACCUCUUAACACCAGCCCCCACAGUGCUAUCGGGAGGUCUCUGGCUCAUGGCAAAUCAGACCCUGCCUAGCAGGCAGGGACGGCUCCUUUGGCCUGAGUUGUACUGAAAAGCCAGGCACUGGCAGGGAUGGAAAAGAAAGACUCUUCUGAGCUUUGUGCGCUGUCAGCCAUAAGAGCAUUGACUAGGUGGCGGGUAUCACAUUCUGUCCACACGUUGGUGUCGGUAGAAAACAUGGUCAAUCUAAAAAACCAGUAAUAACACCGGGAAGACUUUCUAAUUUCUCAGUGUUUCUUCCUACUCUGUGGAUACUGGCCUCUACUAUUACACGCUUUUCAUGACCUACUUUUCUAUAUUUUUUCAAUGUCAUUCUUUCUCCUGAGACAAAGCAGUUUGAAUCUUGGGGUGGUUAUCCUUUAAUCCCUGCGUGGUUUGCAUUUGUUUUUUUCUUUUUCUUUCUUUCUUUUUUUUUUUGAGACGGAGUUUCACUCUUGUUGCCCUGACUGGAGUGCAAUGGAGUAAUCUCGUCUCACGGCAACCUCCGCCUACCGGAUACAAGCGAUUCUCCUGCCUCAACCUCCUGAGUAGCUGGGAUUAUAAGCAUACACCACCAUGUCUGGCUAAUUUUGUAUUUUUAGUUGAGAUGGGAUUCGCCACGUUGGCCAGGCUGGUCUUGAACUCCUGACCUCAGGAGAUCCUCCCACUUCAACCUCUGAAAGCGCUGGGAUUACAGGCAUGACCCACCGCGCCUGGCCUGUUUGCAUUUCAUUUGUGUUCCCUUAAGGAUGACUGGAUGGGAGGCUGAGGUGACUCUUCCACUCACUCCCAAUUGGUGAUGGGAGGGCUACAAGAAACAGGAAGACAAAUUCCACAGCGUGUCUUCGCUGAUCAGUGGGAAUGACAUGAUCAGGUUAUGCCAGUUACCAACUUGGUGCUUUCCAAGACAUUGGGAAGCCUUCACCUGGCUUAUGGAGGAGGCCAGAUAUAGGAGUGUGCCCCUCCACAUUUAGGUGACCUCCAGGAAAGAAACUGGCUCCUUCUCCCUGGGGCCAAUAGUUAUCUUCCGAAGGCUUCUUGGAUCCAUGGAUUCCCUAGAGAACCUACCUCACGCUGUUUCUGAUCUUCUUUCAAUUCAUGCCUAU